rnacentral:ncRNA from 1 species
CUCUAGUCUGGCACUGUAAGGAGACAUGAGAGGUGUAGCAUAAGUGGGAGAGGUGUUUUUUCGGCAUUUCGCCAGUGAAAUACCACUACUUUCAUUGUUUCUUUACUUACUCGGUUGGGCGGAGCGCGUGCGCCGAGGUUCCGACCCGGUCGUCACGGUGUUCUAGCGCAAGUGUGGGGCCCCAUACCGUAGGCCUCUGGCGUCGCAACGACCCACUGCGGAUUCGUCUGCAGUGGUACGUGGCGUCAGGGGAG